rnacentral:sRNA from 1 species
CCGGUCCUAGUGUAGAUGAGAUAGACAGAUCUCAGAACCAAAACCAGAAGCAUUCUGAGAAGUCAGGAAUGGAAGAAGGAAACACCCUUUUUCCAUCCUCUGAGACCUGACGAUUCUUUUCUAGAAAAAGCCACCAAGGCACUCGAGAAGUCCUGAAGAAUAAAGAGGGGGAAAAAAUGUCCUUGAGAUGACAGGGUAGCCAUCUGAUAACCAAACAGCCCAUCACCAGGUCCUACCCAUAAUUCUCCACUCAGAAGCUCCGUGGAAGGACAAACUCAGUGGCGAGGACUAAGGGCCGUCUGACCACAGAGGGCAUCAGAAGGGGAAGCUGUGGCCAAGCACCUGAAGUCAGCAUCAGUUAGACUCUGAAGCAUCCUAGAAGAAGUCUCAGAGGGAAUAUGUGGACUGCAUGGCUUCCGGCUGAAGAUGAUCCAGGGCAGAACCCAGCUCAGCUGUCAACCUUCACGCUUCCCUGGAGACUUGACACUAGAGCCAUCUCUGUCACCUCCCUGCACUCCCCUAAGCCCCGCACAGAGUCUGGCUUGCAGCGAGGAUCAGGAGCCACGUGGUGAAUGAAUCGGUAACAGGAAGAGACUCUAAGACAGCACAAGCACAUGAGAAGACGUGACAAGCCAAACGCAGCAGACAGCAAAGGUCAGAGCGGAGCUUCCAAGGAUGGAUCCUGGUGCAGGCUGCACCCCCUGACCUUGAGGUCUGCCUCUCGCUAUGCUAGUUCUGAGAAAAAUCAAAGGAAUGUCACAGCUUGACAGGAGCUUCCUCUGUUUCAAGUGGACAGCUCAUCAACUACCUACCUGCUAUGGGUAACCUGAGUCUUGGCUCUACCAUCUAUAACACAGGAGUGUUCAUAUAGGUCUACUCCCUUUGCAUUUUUAAAAAU